rnacentral:tRNA from 1 species
GCCGCCGUAGCGUAGCCUGGUAGCGCACAGGACUGUGGAUCCUGGUGGCCGGGUUCAAAUCCCGGCGGCGGCC